rnacentral:rRNA from 1 species
CAGGUACAGCGGGAAGCCAGGCGGCGACGCCGAGCGGAACCCGAAAACCUGUCUCAGUUCGGAUCGGAGUCUGCAACCCGACUCCGUGAAGCUGGAUUCGCUAGUAAUCGCGCAUCAGCCAUGGCGCGGUGAAUACGUUCCCGGGCCUUGUACACACCGCCCGUCAAGCCAUGGAAGCCGGGGGUGCCUGAAGUGUGCAGCCGCAAGGAGCGCCCUAAGGUAAAACCGGUGACUGGGGCUAAGUCGUAACAAGGUAUC